rnacentral:rRNA from 1 species
CCUACGGGAGGCAGCAGUGGGGAAUAUUGCACAAUGGGGGAACCCCUGAUGCAGCGACGCCGCGUGAGUGAAGAAGUAAUUCGUUACGUAAAGCUCUAUCAGCAGGGAAGAAACACUGACCUUACGGUCAGCAGACGGUACCUGCGUAAGAAGACCAGGCUAACUGCGUGCCAGCAGCCGCGGUAAUACGUAGGGGGCAAGCGUUAUCCGGAUUUACUGGGUGUAAAGGGAGCGUAGACGGUGCGCCAAGUCUGGAGUGAAAUGCCGGAGCUUAACUGCGGAACUGCUUUGGAAACUGGCGAACUAGAGUGAGGGAGGGGUAAGCGGAAUUCCUAGUGUAGCGGUGAAAUGCGUAGAUAUUAGGAGGAACACCGGUGGCGAAGGCGGCUUACUGGACCGUAACUGACGUUGAGGCUCGAAAGCGUGGGGAGCAAACAGGAUUAGAUACCCUUGUAGUC